rnacentral:rRNA from 1 species
AGAUAAUAAUUUCAGGUCAGACCUGCCCUAUGAGGAUUAAAUGGCUGCGGUAUUUUGACCGUACAAAGGUAGCAUAAUCAUUAGUUUUUUAAUUGAAAGCUGGAAUGAAGGGUUUAAUGAAAAAAUUUCUGUCUCUUGGAAAUUUAUUAGAAUUUUAUUUUUAAGUGAAAAAGCUUAAAUGUUUAUAGAAGACGAGAAGACCCUAUAGAGUUUAAUAAUUUUAAGAAUAAUAAUUAUAGGUUUUAAAAUUUAAAAUUCUAGAAAAAUUAUUUUAUUGGGGUGAUAGAAAAAUUAGAUAAACUUUUUUAUUAUUAGAUACAUUGAUUUAUGAAUUAUUGAUCCUGAAGUUUGGAUUAAAAGAUAAAAUUACCUUAGGGAUAACAGCGUAAUAUUUUUUAGAGUUCUUAUCGAAAAAAAAGUUUGCGACCUCGAUGUUGGAUUAAAGUUAAUUAUUGGUGAAGAAGCUAAUUAAUUGAGUCUGUUCGACUUUUGAAACUUUACAUGAUCUGAGUUUAGACCGGCGUGAGCC